UGGGGAAUUUUGGACAAUGGGCGCAAGCCUGAUCCAGCCAUGCCGCGUGUGGGAAGAAGGCCUUCGGGUUGUAAACCACUUUUGUCAGGGAAGAAACGGCCUGAUCUAAUACAUUGGGUUAAUGACGGUACCUGAAGAAUAAGCACCGGCUAACUACGUGCCAGCAGCCGCGGUAAUACGUAGGGUGCGAGCGUUAAUCGGAAUUACUGGGCGUAAAGCGUGCGCAGGCGGCUUUGCAAGACAGAUGUGAAAUCCCCGGGCUCAACCUGGGAACUGCAUUUGUGACUGCAAGGCUAGAGUACGGUAGAGGGGGAUGGAAUUCCGCGUGUAGCAGUGAAAUGCGUAGAUAUGCGGAGGAACACCGAUGGCGAAGGCAAUCCCCUGGACCUGUACUGACGCUCAUGCACGAAAGCGUGGGGAGCAAACAGGAUUAGAUACCCUAGUAGUCCCUGAGCGGGCUGGCAAGGCGCAU
rnacentral:rRNA from 1 species